rnacentral:rRNA from 1 species
UUUGCAUAUCAAAAAGCGGAGGAAAAGAAACCAACAGGGAUUGCCCUAGUAACGGCGAGUGAAGCGGCAACAGCUCAAAUUUGAAAUCUGGCCCCCGUGGUCCGAGUUGUAAUUUGUAGAGGAAGCUUUUGGUGAGGCACCUUCCGAGUUCCCUGGAACGGGACGCCAUAGAGGGUGAGAGCCCCGUCUGGUUGGAUGCCGAUCCUCUGUAAAGCUCCUUCGACGAGUCGAGUAGUUUGGGAAUGCUGCUCUAAAUGGGAGGUAUAUGUCUUCUAAAGCUAAAUAUUGGCCAGAGACCGAUAGCGCACAAGUAGAGUGAUCGAAAGAUGAAAAGCACUUUGAAAAGAGGGUUAAAUAGUACGUGAAAUUGUUGAAAGGGAAGCGCUUGUGACCAGACUUGGGCUCGUUCAAUCAUCCAGGGUUCUCCCUGGUGCACUUGGCCGGCCCAGGCCAGCAUCAGUUCGUCGCGGGGGAUAAAGGCGUCGGGAAUGUGGCUCCCCCGGGAGUGUUAUAGCCCCUCGCGCAAUACCCUGCCUCGGACUGAGGUUCGCGCAUCUGCAAGGAUGCUGGCGUAAUGGUCAUCAGCGACCCGUCUUGACC